UGGGGAAUAUUGGACAAUGGGCGAAAGCCUGAUCCAGCCAUGCCGCGUGUGUGAAGAAGGCCUUUUGGUUGUAAAGCACUUUAAGCGAGGAGGAGGCUACUAGUACUAAUACUACUGGAUAGUGGACGUUACUCGCAGAAUAAGCACCGGCUAACUCUGUGCCAGCAGCCGCGGUAAUACAGAGGGUGCGAGCGUUAAUCGGAUUUACUGGGCGUAAAGCGUGCGUAGGCGGCUGAUUAAGUCGGAUGUGAAAUCCCUGAGCUUAACUUAGGAAUUGCAUUCGAUACUGGUUAGCUAGAGUGUGGGAGAGGAUGGUAGAAUUCCAGGUGUAGCGGUGAAAUGCGUAGAGAUCUGGAGGAAUACCGAUGGCGAAGGCAGCCAUCUGGCCUAACACUGACGCUGAGGUACGAAAGCAUGGGGAGCAAACAGG
rnacentral:rRNA from 1 species